UACAGGGGGGGCAAGCGUUGUUCGGAAUUACUGGGCGUAAAGGGCUCGUAGGUGGCCAACUAAGUCAGACGUGAAAUCCCUCAGCUUAACUGGGGAACUGCGUCUGAUCCUGGAUGGCUUGAGUUUGGGAGAGGGAUGCGGAAUUCCAGGUGUAGCGGUGAAAUGCGUAGAUAUCUGGAGGAACACCGGUGGCGAAGGCGGCAUCCUGGACCAAUACUGACACUGAGGAGCGAAAGCCAGGGGAGCAAACGGG
rnacentral:rRNA from 1 species